ACCCGGCUAGUCAAACGGUAAGACAAGCGGUUUUGAUCCGUUGAUUGUCGGUUCGAAUCCGGCGCUGGGUG
rnacentral:tRNA from 1 species